rnacentral:rRNA from 1 species
UACGGGGGGAGCAAGCGUUGUUCGGAUUUACUGGGCGUAAAGGGCGCGUAGGCGGCGCAACAAGUCACUUGUGAAAUCUCCGGGCUUAACCCGGAGCGGUCAAGUGAUACUGUCGUGCUAGAGUGCGGAAGGGGCUACUGGAAUUCUCGGUGUAGCGGUGAAAUGCGUAGAUAUCGAGAGGAACACCUGCGGCGAAGGCGGGUUGCUGGGCUGACACUGACGCUGGAAGCGCGAAAGCCAGGGGAGCGAACGGG